ACAGACGUUUACUUGUCAUGGAAACAUCGGAUCUGUCCUUGUCGACCGGUGGUGUUUGCGUGAGACGGCAGCCAUGAUGUUGCUGAAGGCACUGGUCUUCAUUUCGCUGUCACUUACAGUUUCAGGAGAAUAUUUCUUCCUUCCUCCCAAGGUUAAAUACGAAGCUGCAGUAUAUGUUUGCAAGCAAAACGGUCUUCAGCUGGUGAACGUCAAAACCAAUGAAACCCAAAGGCUGGUCUCUGCUUACAUGGGAGAGAGGAACGUCAACCUCUGGACCGGGCUUCACUAUAACGCUAGUAUGAGCAAGUUCCAGUGGGGAGACGGGGAGAUUCUACACUCC